ACAUCACUGAUAAAAGAGUUUGGGUCCUCUGGCGGGCGCGAUCAGCCGGGGCCGACGCCUAAAGGACGGCCCGCCAAAGCAACAAAGGUAAAUAAACACAGGGUGUAUGAUAUCUCCCUUUCCAAUCCGGUGCGUUUUACGGCAAAGGACCGGUCCGGUUACAUUAAUGAUCCUUCCGCAGGUUCACCUACGGAAACCUUGUUACGACUUUUACUUCCUCUAAAUGACCAAGA
rnacentral:misc_RNA from 1 species